rnacentral:rRNA from 1 species
AGCUCCAGUAGCGUAUAUUAAAGUUGUUGCAGUUAAAAAGCUCGUAGUUGGAUUUCUGGUACGCUGCGCCUGGCCCGCCCGCGUUAGCGGUGUGAGUGUCGGUGCGCGGUUGCCAUCCUUCUAGAGAACGUGUCUACCCUUCACUGGGCCGGAUACGGGAUCUAGAUCUUUUACUUUGAAAAAAUUAGAGUGUUUAAAGCAGGCUUUUGCUAUGAAUACAUUAGCAUGGAAUAAUAAUAUAGGACUUUGGUUCUAUUUUGUUGGUUUCUAGGACUGAAGUAAUGAUUGAUAGGGAUAGUUGGGGGUGCUAGUAUUCAGCGGCCAGAGGUGAAAUUCUUGGAUUCGCUGAAGACUAACUUAUGCGAAAGCAUUCACCAAGGAUGUCUUCUUUAAUCAAGAA